UUAUUUUAACCCAACCUCAAAUUUUGCUCAGGAAAAAUUGUCCAGGGCAACAAUUUUCGUUUUGGUGCAAACAGCAAAAAUAUGUGAAAACUGGAGAACCUUAGAACGAAAACGAAACGUUUUGGCCGAAAAUGUAACCCGCAAAUGUAAAUGAAAAAGCCUGAUAAUUUUAUUUUUCGAGCAUAGACUAAAAACUAAAGGCAGGAGGUAUAAUGGAAUUGAAAACUAAGAUGCGGAUCACAACGUACCUGCUCGUUUAAUUCAUAUAUUGUAUAUUGUACACUGCAUAUGUAUGUUAACAAAUGUUAACCAAAUUGGCCACUGGGCGGAGCGAUUUCUGCAAGAUCGCUGAGUAGGCAGAUUCGCUGACCGUGGGAGCGCGGUCGCCGAGACCGCCGGAUGCCAGCCUGCAUCGGACACCAGACACGAGGCGCAAUGUCAGCGUUUCUGCUGAACUGCGACGGGCCCGGCGGACGUAGAGCGAGGGCUCGAGACCGGCAGUUUGGGUACCUUAAGUUUAGUUUUAUAUUGAUCCGACGAGUGGCAACUACACAUUUCGGUAUUAGCCUUGCAUCCUAUAUUAACUCAUAGUAAUGAAUAAAGGUUUACUACAUUAUUUAUAGUAACUUCAAAGCUGUUAUUUACUGGCGCCUAACGCGAAUAAACCGCCCUCGAGAUAUAAUUAUAGUGCGGAGACAACGCCCGCUAUAGUGUAAAUCGGCAAAGUAUUGAGUGCGGAGACAACGCCCGCUCAAUAAAGUUAAAGAAAGCAUUCGGUCAACGUGUAAAAACAAACAAAAAAAAUAAGUUAAAACAAAACACCUAAAACUUAAAAUAUAUGAGUGCGGAGACAACGCCCCUCAAAAAGUAGCACAAGAAAUUACAAGAAGUGUGUGCCAAAAGUGCACCAAACAACUCGUAGCCCCGAGUAUAAAGGAUGAUCCCAAUAAAUCUAACAUUUUUUACACCAGAGCGGACGGCUUUGGUCAGCGGCGAAGAUAGACAGGAAGAAGCCUACGAGACGGCCAACUGGAGAACCAUUACAAUUUAAGAAGAUACAACUAGGGAAACACCAAAUAGAAGCCAUACAGAAAACAUGCCCAUCAACGAGUAUUUCUGCAUCCUUAUAACCCUACCAUGGACAACCCUAACCGACUCCAAGCUGACGGACUAUUCGCACGCGGACUACAUCCCCAUAGUUGAAGGACGGACGGUGAUAUGGGACGAAACAUUAGGAGUUCACCACAGACAGGCCAGAUUUAAAUAUUCUUGGCACGGCUCUAAAGGUUAUCGCAGGGACACCGGAUUUUGACGACCUACAACAGACGCGACAGGUUGAGUACGAACUAGUUAGGGCUAGCAAUAAACAAAUUAACAUAAAUUCGAAAACCCAGGCGCAGAUUAAUGUCCUCACUGCAACCGUCAAACAAUUGUUGAGAGUUAGCAGGAAGGAAGAAAUACGUAGGUUGCUAUUUAUAUUUCGGGAAUAGGAAAUAAGAACAACAAUUUUUAAAUGAAAAUGGUUUUAUUGUUUUUCAAUAUAUUCCCCCUCAUGAUCAAUACACUUUUGCAUUCGUUAGAACCAUUGCUCAUAGCAGUUUUUCAAUUCAUUUUGAGACACCUUCAAAACAUAGUUUUUUAACUCUUCAACUGCUUCUUCGGCGUAAAUCGUUAGCCACGCAGUUAUUAUUUUGAUGUGAGAAAUAAAAAGAAGUCAUUGGGUUCCAAGUCAGGACCGAAGGGCGGAUGACUUAUCAUUUCGAUGUUUUGACUGUUUAAAAAUUGACCUGAUUGUCGAGAUGUGUGAGAACUCGACUUGUCAUGAUGGAGAAUGAUUCGUGUUCGGCAGUUGGUUUUGCGAAUUUCUCCGAAGACCUCCGGCAACAAAAUGGUCGUGUACCACUCAGAAUUGACAGUCCUACGUUGCUCUAGCAGAACAGUCGCCACAUGACCCAUUCUCCCGAAGAAACAGGCGACCAUUUGCUUCAAAGUGCUUCGUGCUCGAACAACUUCUGUUGGAUUUGGCUCAUUUUGAAACACCCACACGGUCGAUUGCUGUUUAGUUUCCGGCUCAUACGCAUAUAUCCAUGAUUCAUCACCUAUCACGAUUUUAAGAAUGGCUUUUGAAGCACCACGGUCGAGCUUUUUAAGGAUUUCCUUACUCCAAUCGACGCGAGCCUUUUUUUGAGCGAUUGAUAAGUUAUAGGGUAUCCAACGAGAACAAACCUUUUUUACAACUAAGUUUUCAUGGAAAAUGGAAUGUAUUGCAGUGGAAUUAAUGUAGAAGGAUGCCUCCAUCUCACGAUAUGUCACAUGUCGAUCUUGCAAUAUCAGUUCACGCACACCAUCGAUGUUUUGUGGCACAAAAACUGAUUUUGGACGACCUUUACGGGACUCGUCAUCGAGUGAACUACGACCACGAUUCAAUUCUGCAAACUAUCGAUAAUCUGUCUUUUUUUAUGGUGCUUUCUCGCAUGCAACGAACUAAGUUCAUCAACACAUUCUUGUUGGGAUAAUCCACGUCGAAAGUUGUGAAAAAAUUCCAACGAAAACCAUCUCGAAAAAUUUCAAUUUUUUUGCCAAGUGAAUUUUUGUUAACUGAUUGUAAACAAAACAAAACACAAUUGUACAUCAAAACGUUGUAUGUACAUAUGUGCUAAAAAAUUAAAAAGUUUAUUGUGGCGUUGUCAGAUUUUACGUAUUGGCAUUAGUAUUGCCAAUUCUCGAAAUAUAAAUAGCAACCCUCGUAAUAUUCGUAAUCGAAAUGCCUAGACCUAAGUACAUUUGUAAGAAAAUAACUAUGUUUCCUGUCGCCCAUAGCGGGGUAAUAAUCCGAAUGCCAGAGAACAUCGUAGCUGAGUGCGACAGCAAGGUCAUUGCAGUCACGUCAUGCAAAUGGCUCCCAAACCUUGCCUCUUGCAAGGCGGCACCGACAAACAACUGUGCACAAGAGCUGCAUUCCGGAGCAGUAGCCCACUGCCACACACAUCGUAAUAAUCAACGCCGCACAUGUCAUCGUGACCAUUGACAAUGGCCCGAAACGCCGAAUUACGGGAACGUACCUGGUGACUUUGGUUCUACGCACACAAACUUCAAUAGCGUGCCGAAAAGGUUCCCAGGUGUGGCAGCGGCCACGAGAAUCAACGUCACCCGGCACCAAACUCUGCUGAGCCUGCCAUUCCUCCACAAACUCAGCGAGGAAAAUUUAGAACGCAUUGCUGAAGUUCAGACGGGCCUUGUCACCGGGCCCGUGAUAGCCGUAGCCGUAGCCGUAGGCGUACUCAUAUGCGCCAUCAUAGCCGCAAACUUCUGGCAACUGCGGCGCAAACAGCGGAAGGAAACAGCCGACGCCGUCCAGCAGGUGCUGAAGAACUUGGGCUUGACCGAGGACGGCCAAGUCUUGAAGGAGGGAGUAGUUAACAAAUGUUAACCAAAUUGGCCACUGGGCGGAGCGAUUUCUGCAAGAUCGCUGAGUAGGCAGAUUCGCUGAACGUGGGAGCGAGGGCUCGAGACCGGGAGUUUGGGUACCUUAAGUUUAGUUUUAUAUUGAUCCGCCGAGUGGCAACUACACAUUUCGGUAUUAGCCUCAUAGCUCAUAGUUAUGAAUAAAGGUUUACUACAUUAUUCAAAGUAACUUCAAAAUUAUUAUUUACUUGUAUGCAACGGAGUCCCGUCAUACCUAUGUCACAGUGAAACUUUCCUUUGAACACAACGCUUUUUUUAAACCAAAAAUCUUGUAUUUCUUAUAAAUAGUACUUGAAAUAAGGAACUUGGUGCUUCCUUUAUUUAAGAAUCAACUCGCCUCGUUUUGCUACAUAUUAAAAUUUCGGCUGGUUAAAGUAUACUUUCUUCGUAACAAGACGAGUGAUGAUUAUGUGAAUAUCGACCAAAUAUUUUUAACAAAUGAGAUGAAAUGUCACUAAAAAUCGGAGCUCAAAAGAAGUGGUCACUCUUUAAAGGCAGUCAUAAAAAAACUGUUGCCCGUGGACACGAUUAGAAACAGAAUCGAAAAGACACUUUAACAUCGUUUGUUCUCAACGCGCUCUUUUUGCUUAGUUGCUGAUGCUCAGCUGCUUAAUGCCGAACGACAGUCUAUUCAUCAAACUGUCUUCGUAAGAGAGCUGAUUGUGAUUCUCUCGUCAAUAAGAAUGAAACAGACAGCUUAGAAAAAAUUUGUUGAGCAUAUUUUUCGAGCUCAGCUAAAAAUCCAUUUCCUGCCACUUUGUUUUUUUUUCGACAAACUGAAGAAUCUUAGAGAUGAACGACGGUAUCAAGGUGUCUGGGAUCAUAUGACAAACAAUUACAUAUUCAGGCAGGCUCCGGUUCUCACUUUCGCAAAAAUUAUAAUUGACUUUUGAAAAAGCAAACAUUGGUGUUCCUGUUUUCAUAAAACGUACAAUUUUUUCGAUUUCAAAACAAAAACAUUUUUCACGCCGUAAUGAAAAGAAUACGGCUUUUUAUACAAGAAACCGAGUCUUAAUUGCAAAAUGAAAAAAAUAGAUGACUUAUUAAUGCAUUAACGUUAUUUUGACACCAUUAGCAGGACAAUUUAUCUUGUGCUUUCUUUCUUAAUAAAUAUUUUUUUAGCCCGACCUCAAAUAUGGCUUGAAAAUAAUGAGUCAAGGCAAGAACUUUUCGUUUUCGUGCAAACUGCUGUCGCAGCCCGAUUCGGUUAUCAGAAUGUUUGCCAAAAAUACACAUUUAAAUCGGACUUCAAAAUGUAAGUGCAAAAAAUCAACUUUGUGGUAACACCCAGAUGGGGUUGAACUUUCUCCAAAAUCAUUUCGAAAGUAGGUUUGGCACUUCGAAAUGACUUCACAAAUCUGAAAACUUAUAAAUUAUAAAUUAUAAUUUUCAAUUUACCUUAGUAAAAUGGCUAUAUGUGCAAAAAUUAUUUUCAAUUUUUCUUAAAAAGUAAUAGCUGCUUGUUUGGUUUGACUAUGCAGUUCUUAUCUCUUAUUAUUGUGCUCAGUUAUGACAAAGCUUUGUCUUUGAACUCCAUGUGUGGUACCGUUAGCUUAGAUAAGAGAUCAAGCUCGCGCUCUACGUGGAAAAUAGAUAUAUGUGCAAUCAUGUUUAUUCAUGUUUUGAGAGUCGCAGUGUUAGCAUCUUUUAAGUAAAAGUGACAAGCUGAUUGAUUCUGUACGUAAGAACUCAUUAUUGCAUCAAACCAAUAAGAAUAUUAAAGAAAAUUGAACUUUUAGUUAAAAAUGCCUCGUGGUUCAGAAUUGUCUGAGAAAGAACAGGGAAGGAUCAAGGGAAUGAAGUUAGCCAGCAUGAAAACUGGACGCAUCGCUUCGCUAAUGAAUCGACAUCUUUCCAUCUUUUUGAAAGAUCCAGACGGUUACCGCAUAAAUCGUCGGCUUGGCCUGGUACCAACCAUUACCGAACGCACAAAACGGCGCAUGCGGCAGCUGGCAACUGAAGACAUGAUGAGCUGCAACAAAAUUAAGCAAAACUGGGUUUAAAAAUCACCAGGCAACGUGUGUGCCAAAUUUUGACCGAAAAUUUGAACCUCAAAUAUCAAAACAAAGUUGGCAAACCACGCUUAGGUAAACAGCAUUAAGAUGCGCGCAUGACUUUUUAUGAAAAACACAAGUUCUGGGACCUCGAAUUCGAAAAUAUCAUUUUUACUGACGAAAAAAAUUUAAUUUAGACGGUCCAGACGGCCAUCAUAAGUAUUGGAGAGAUCAGCGUCAUCCACGGGCAACUUGCUACAAGCAGAACCAUGGCGGUGGAUCGCUUAUGGUAUGGGCUGCAUUUAGUGCUAAAGGAAAGUCCCCAAUUUGUUUUGUAUCCGGCCGAAUGAAUGCUCAAGCUUACAUAUAUAGAAUUGGUAGAUAGUGAGCUAAUUCCAUUUACUGAGCAUUUGCAUGGGGAUCAAUGGACUUUUCAACAGGACAAUGCGCCAAUUCACGUUGCCCGUGCUACAAUAGGCUAUUUUGAGACCCACAAGAUACCAUUUAUGAGUCUAUGCCUGUAUAAAGCAGUACGAUACAUUGAGCAACUAAAACAAACAGAAUGGAACAGGAUAGAAAUAACAACACUACAAAACUUGGCAAAUUCAAUGCCCAGUAAGCUGAAAAAGCUUCAGGAGCAUAAGUUUAACUCCAUUAAUUAUUAAAAGAGUUCAUAUUUCCAUAAACUUGUUCCUUGGAAAUUUUUUUCAUAAAAAAUAUUUUUUGCUGUUAUACCCAUUUUCUAUGUGAAAAAUGUACAAUUAAUUUUUUUUUGUUAUUAAAAAAUUGAUAUUGAAUUUCUUUAUGCCUUUUUUUUUUGUACUUAUUAACAGCUACCCAAAUAAAAAUAUAAAAUAAAUCAAGAAAACACGUGUUGAAAAAAAACGUCAUUCAAAGCAAUGCACAUAUAGCCAUUUUACUAAGGUACAUGCUGUUAGUUUGUCAGACAUGUUAAAUACACAAUGUUACAUCGAAGGUGACUUGAUCUUAAAUCGCGCACUUACUGCCGCCGUUUUGCUUCAAAACAAGCAAUUCAAAAAAUUAAAGUAAUUUUGGUUUUGCCAGAAACGAUGAUAAAAUUAAACAAAUCGAUGACAAAAAUUUGUGAAAACGGGAGCACCUAAAAACGGAACGUUUUGGCUGACAAAAGUAAGUGAAAUAGCUUGUGUGAUUGUUGUAUGGAUUUCUGGAAUUGGCGAUGUCCUUAGCGACGUUUAUUCAAUAUCCGUAAUAAAAUAUAAAAAGCAAGAAACUAAUUUACUUUGACAUUUCAUGAGCUGUAAAAUUUAAAAUAUUUCACAAAUAUGGCAUUAUUAAAUUAUCAAUUUUUCAUUUGAGGGCUUAAUAUUUCUCAAACGGUAAGCUAAAGCUACAACGUUUUGAGAGACGAUUGAUAUCUGCAUUCAUUAUCUUUUCAGAAUAGCGAAAUUCUAUACAAGUGGGUUUAACAUACUCAAUAUGUACAAAAUAUCUAAAAAAAAUAAAAAAUAAAUAUUUAUAUAAAUUUACAGAAAUUCGAACCAUAAAAUGGAACCAAAACCAUGGCAGAGGUUUUGUUCUUAGUGGAGUGUAAUAAAUAAAUUAAUGUUAUGCCUAACAAAAGCAAAACUGUUUUAGGUAUGUUUGUAUGCAUAUAUGUACAUAUGCAUAUUUAAAUAAAUUUUAAAAUCUAACUCUUUAAAUAAAUUUCGAAGAAAUGCAUAAACUAA